UCCAACAUUUAGUUAAAAGUUAAAGAAAAAGAAAACAGUGCUCAAAUGUGAUAAUUUCCAAAUUUAUAUGCACCAUGUUUCUCUUGCUUUAGACGAGAUCUAAUUUUGAGUAUAAUUUCGAUUUUACGUUUUAUUAUUCUUUUGUUCCAAAAUGUGAAAACUAGAGGUAAGGUCUUAAGUGAGGCUGCGGUUACAACAUCAAAGUAAAAGAAAAUAUGCAAUUAAAAGAAGAGGGAUGCUUUGAGAAAACUGAGAGCGCAACGAAAAAAUGAUCCUGAGGCUUAUGAAAUUGCUAAAUUGAAGGAAAGAGAGCGGUAUCAUCGCAGAGUUAAUUACGAUAAAAUAAAAAAGAUAUCAAUGUUAACAGAUCCAGAUAAAAGACGUAAAAGGGAAGAAUGGAGGGAACAUAGUAAGAAACUUACCAAGCAAAAAAGGCAGCUAGAAAAACACCAAGUAGUUACAGAAUUGAUACAAUCUAUUCCGAGAUACAUAUAUGUUGCACCUCAGGAAUAUAUCCCAUCAGUAUCGGUGUAUAAAUGUAGUGAAAAAGAAUUUGUCUGUUGAUAAAAUCUUGAUCCAUAUGGAUUUUUCUAAAAAUUACUUCUGUAAAUAUACUGAAAAAGUACAAUCUGCACACUUUGGCUCUUUAAAGCAUCAGAUAUCUUAGAUAUAACUGCGGCGUGGUAAAGUCUGUCAAGCAACCUUACCACACUUUUCAUACCUUAGUUGUAUAUUAAAAGUAUCCACACCAGAUUACGAUACUUUAGUAAAAGUCUUACAAAACUCAAUAAAAGGGAUCAAGAUCUUUCGUAUCGAUGAAAAACUAAUCCCUAUGAUCGACGAACUGAUCCCAGAAAAUAUUCCUACGUUUAAAGAGAACUGACAUGUCUGUGUUGUGAACCCGGCCAGCUUUGCUCACACUAUAACUUGGAUCUAAGGAGUAUAGAACAGCUCUACGUUAUAGCGUUGUAUAUACAGAUUCAUCAUCAUUGGAUGAUGAUAUGCCAUUGAGUUUAGUAUGCAAUAAGUUGAGAUGUUAGGAACAAAACUUGGAAUUAAAUUAUUAUUUGUCAACUCCGUUACCACUUCUCAACUCCGUUACCUCUAAACUUAACAUUAUUUUCAUUAUUUAAUUAUAUUCUCAAAGUACAAAACUUUUGUUAUACUAAUAUGUUUUCUUCGAUAAAUAUAUAACCUAGAAAACUAA